UUUAUUACGUCAGUUGUAUAGGUUUAAAAGAUUUUGACUAAACUGUGUAUGGAAUGCAUAAGAUCAAAUUUAGAGACUUUGCGUUUUACCCACUGUAUUAGGUGUAUAGGGUUAGAAUCGUGAUGUUAAACGAUCGGGUUGAAAACCGUAUGUGAGUUUAUGAAAAGACAUAUCCUUGCUAAGUCGGCUUGGAUAUAUUUUAAUUCUUUUUUAUAACCACGUAAUAGAGGUUACUAACAAUUUUGGCAAUGUGGAAAUAGUAAACAUGAAAAUGACUUUGGAGGAAGAAACGACAAAGGCUUAAUUUUCCUAAAAAUUUUGUUUUGUCACUGAGUAGUGAGUGUAUUGACGCAGCUACUAAGGUUGUUUCGGUUAUCUUGAUAAUAAAGAUGAUCGAAAACUUACCGAAAUGAACUGCUUAGUGUUACUUUAAUAUCUCUGAUAAUUGUAUGAAAUGUAACCAUCAAUUUCAUGCCAUAAAUGAAAUCAUGUUUGAGGUUCACCUAAAUUUUAAUUUGAAAAGCAAUAUCUGCACUGUACUAUAUUUACUACUGCUCAUUGUCAUUUGUUGCAAUCUUACCACAAGCAAGAGUAAAUCCUAGAAGAACAUUCAAAAAGAAGCAAUUCGAGAAUUAGCUAGACCGUGAUAUGAAAAGGAACUAGUUGCUGUUUUAAUAUCGAUACCAGGAACACCAAUCGACGAUUAUGAAAAUAAACAAAACCUUUGAAAUUUAAUAGUUCAUAAGAUUUUAAAACAAAUUUUCUUAAGGCUUUGUGAGUCAUUUAUUUCUAUUUCUAUUCCUACUAAUAAGAGACAGUUUUUAUUUCGUCAAUUUCAGUUUUGCUCUUGCUUGACUUACCGAAAUGCUCAGCUACUUAGUACAUCAACAAUAAGUAUAUGAAGAGCAAACGUAUUUCAGAAUUGACAAAAGUGACCAAAAAU